CCUACCUGUGGCGCCAGCGCCCGCGGGGCCAGCACCUUCCUUAGGCUGCUUCGGAGCGCGAGCAUGGCCUGGAGCGCACGGGAAGACCGCCGGGUGCUGGGACUCGCCUUCUCCGCGCUUCCUGGCGCGCGCCCCCGCUCGAUUAGACACAAGACCUGAAUGAUUGGAGAAGAGAAACGUACCACAACCUUAGUUCCCCAGACCAUCAUGGACCUCUUCCAAAUGAAGACAGGGGUACAGAGAACCCUGCAGAUACUUGAUAGUACAACAGAAACAAAACCAACCACGGAAAUGCAGAGGCUAAGACAGACGCACCUUCCUCGGGAGGCGUUCCUAUUUUGCACCAUGGUACCAGAUAGGUAAUUUCGCUCUCCUGUUUAUCAA